AAAAAAAAAUGGAACAAUUGGCUUAAACAAAUCGGUUUAUCAAUAAAUUACGAUGUCAGUGUAUGUGGCAAUUUAUUAAAUAGUGAUCAAUGUUGAUAAAAGUUUUGAACAGAUAACAGAAAAAAAAAAAAAAAAAUCGUACAUGAAGCAAAACAUCUAAAACAAAAACUCAUCGUUCUUCAUCAUUUCAACACAAUAAAAAUAUUUAAGCAUACUGCUACAUAUUGUGGCGCUACAAAAUAACAGACAACUAAAAAACAGGAAAAUUACAACAAGAAGAAAGCAAAAAAAACCGGAGGCAGCACCAGCAACGACAACAACACAGAGUGCAACACACAGUAGCGGCAGAAGCAGCAGCUUCAUUAGUUAAUUGAACAUUGUUUUGGGUUUUUUGUUAUUGUGGUAACACAUUACUAUUACUUUUACAAACAAAAAAACACAUUGCUGCCACAUACUCUAUCACAACACAUAUAACAACAACCCAGCAGCCACCCAAUAAACAUGCAACAAAAGUUGCCAACAACAUCAUAUUAAAGUGUGAAAAAAGUUUUUUUUGCUUUGGUUGGUUUAUUAUAAAAAUAGACUGAAAGGAACAUAAAAACAUAAAACAGAGAACAUAUUUUAAAUAUGGGAAUAACUGUGGAAAAUUGAUCGCUUUUUUUUGUUGGUGUGGAUGGCAGUAAAGACAUCUCUGGCAGCAG